GGCUGCAGUCUGCAUCAGCCUAUGCUAAGAAAAGAGAGACAACUCCUGCAUCUGGAAAUUCCUUCUCUCAGAGGCUGCUGGUGGGAGCAAGAUCCUCAGCUCUGGCCUUCAAAAGCUCCUGUGAUCUCUGCACAAUUUCUCUAAAUAGAAUUAUAUUUCUGAGACAAGACCAGGCCUGAUACUACAGGUUUAGUUGACUCACAGUUCAGCAUGCUGAGGAGGCCUCAGGAAACUUACAAUCAUGGCAGAAGUGGAAGCAAACACAUCCUUCUUCACACGGUGGCCGGAAGAACUGCCAAGCAAAGCAGGGAAAGCCUUUUAAAAAACCAUCAGAUCAGCCGGGCAUGGUGGCUCACACCUGUAAUCCCAGCACUUUGGGAGGCCGAGGUGGGUGGAUCACGAGGUCAGGAGUUCAAGACAAGCCUGGCCAAUAUGGUGAAACCCCAUCUCUUCUAAAAUACAAAAAUUACCGGGCAUGGUGGCACAUGCUUGUAGUCCCAGCUACUUGGGAGGCUGAGGCAGAAGAAUCACUUGAACCCAGGAGGCGGAGGUUGCAGUGAGCC
rnacentral:sRNA from 1 species